GAUGAACGCUAGCUACAGGCUUAACACAUGCAAGUCGAGGGGAAACGCCAUUGAAGCUUGCUUCGAUGGUCGUCGACCGGCGCACGGGUGAGUAACGCGUAUCCAACCUGCCUCUGACCAGGGGAUAACCCGUCGAAAGUCGGCCUAAUACCUUAUGCAGUCGUCGGAAGUCAUCUGAUGACGACGAAAGAUUUCAUCGGUGAGAGAUGGGGAUGCGUCUGAUUAGCUUGUUGGCGGGGUAACGGCCCACCAAGGCAACGAUCAGUAGGGGUUCUGAGAGGAAGGUCCCCCACAUUGGAACUGAGACACGGUCCAAACUCCUACGGGAGGCAGCAGUGAGGAAUAUUGGUCAAUGGGCGAGAGCCUGAACCAGCCAAGUAGCGUGCAGGAUGACGGCCCUAUGGGUUGUAAACUGCUUUUAUGCGGGGAUAAAGUGAGGGACGUGUCCUUCAUUGCAGGUACCGCAUGAAUAAGGACCGGCUAAUUCCGUG
rnacentral:rRNA from 1 species